rnacentral:rRNA from 1 species
GACGGGGACCCGCACAAGCAGCGGAGCAUGUGGUUUAAUUCGAAGCAACGCGAAGAACCUUACCAGGGCUUGACAUCCUCUUGAAAGGCUGGGUAAAACCGGCCCCUCUACGGACAAGAGAGACAGGUGGUGCAUGGUUGUCGUCAGCUCGUGUCGUGAGAUGUUGGGUUAAGUCCCGCAACGAGCGCAACCCUUGCCUUUAGUUGCCAGCAGUAAGAUGGGCACUCUAGAGGGACUGCCGGGGACAACUCGGAGGAAGGUGGGGAUGACGUCAAAUCAUCAUGCCCCUUAUGUUCUGGGCUACACACGUGCUACAAUGGCCGGUACAGAGAGAGGCAAGACUGUGAAGUGGAGCAAAACUCUAAAACCGGUCCCAGUUCGGAUUGCAGGCUGCAACUCGCCUGCAUGAAGUCGGAGUUGCUAGUAAUCGCGGAUCAGAACGCCGCGGUGAAUGCGUUCCCGGGUCUUGUACACACCGCCCGUCACACCAUGGAAGUUGGGGGCGCCCGAAGUCGGUCCACGGAUUGCCUAAGGCGAAACCAAUGGCUGGGGUGAAGUAGUAACAAGGUAGGCCGUCGAGAA